rnacentral:lncRNA from 1 species
GGUUCCUGGACCCCCCAGUUCUGUGUGGCUCUUCUCUAGAGGAGCAUUGACCCCCCUGAAUCAGCUCUGUCCUUGGCGGGACAGUCCUUCCCUGCUGGCAGUCUCUUCUCGUUGGCUCCCUCGACCUGCUAUCUCCUCUGAAAGCCUGGCUGACCAGGAAUGGGGUCUCCCCUCACAUUGGGGAGCUUGCCCUUUACCUCCAGGGCUGCUGCUGCCUGGGUAUCUGGGACCCCAGAUCAGGCUCUGGAGACGCUGCUACCUGAGGGGAAGGCCUGAGGUCCAGAUGGGCCUCUCAGCUCCCACAAUCUCUGGCCUCCAGGAUGAGCUAUCCCAUCUUCAGGAGUUAUUACGGAAAUGGACACCAAGAAUAUCUCCUGAGGAUCACUCCAAGAAAAGAGAUCCACAUACCAUUCUCAAUCCCACUGAAAUUGCUGGCAUUCUCAAAGGCAGGGCAGAGGGGGAUCUGGGGUAGAGGAGGGUUCUGUCUAAUCUUUUUUUUUUUUUUUUGUAUCUGCACUUGCAGCCUCAGCUUUCACACUUCAGCCCUUAAGUUCACUAAGAAGGUCUGAGUUUCUGCUGCAGAUAGUGGUGUUAACUGCUCCAACUCUUGUCUUGCUUAGUUUCUACAAAUAUUUUUGCUUCUUGUCAUUUGAAGGAUUAAGAAACAAAAACAAUCCAGAAAUUGAUCGGUUUUUUUAGGCCAAUCCCAUCCCUUCUGGAUAACCAGAUGUUAAAUCAUGAGAUCAGAGAUGCUGUUCAUCAGUCCCAACAAGAUGGCCUAGAAAUCGCAUUCUCACCUCGCCUUGCUGCUGCUUUAAUUCCAAGUUCUAUUUCUUCCCUUAUAGUUUUCUAUGGGAAUGAGGCGGAUACAGGAAACACCCUAUCUCCUCUGUAUUUUUGUAGUGGAAUUUCUAUUUAAGGGGCUCAUUAAAGCAUAGUAUUU